rnacentral:rRNA from 1 species
UACAGAGGGGGCAAGCGUUGUUCGGAAUUACUGGGCGUAAAGGGCUCGUAGGCGGCCAACUAAGUCAGACGUGAAAUCCCUCAGCUUAACUGGGGAACUGCGUCUGAUACUGGAUGGCUUGGAUUUGGGAGAGGGAUGCGGAAUUCCAGGUGUAGCGGUGAAAUGCGUAGAUAUCUGGAGGAACACCGGUGGCGAAGGCGACAUCCUGGACCGGUAUUGACGCUGAGGCGCGAAAGCCAGGGGAGCAAACGGG